rnacentral:rRNA from 1 species
UACGAAGGGGGCUAGCGUUGCUCGGAAUUACUGGGCGUAAAGGGCGCGUAGGCGGGCGGUUAAGUCAGGGGUGAAAUCCUGGAGCUCAACUCCAGAACUGCCUUUGAUACUGAAGAUCUUGAGUUCGGAAGAGGUGAGUGGAACUGCGAGUGUAGAGGUGAAAUUCGUAGAUAUUCGCAAGAACACCAGUGGCGAAGGCGGCUCGCUGGCCCGAUACUGACGCUGAGGCACGAAAGCGUGGGGAGCAAACAGG